rnacentral:snoRNA from 1 species
UGGACUUGUCUUUGUUGAACUAAUGGACUUAAAGAUGGGUGCAAAAACAAAUCCUCUUUUGCCAUCCAGAACACUUGUUAAGUAUAAGUAUGGGUUUUGAUACAUAAAAGAAGGAAUAUG